rnacentral:rRNA from 1 species
GAUGAACGCUGGCGGCGUGCCUAAUACAUGCAAGUCGAGCGAACAGACGAGGAGCUUGCUCCUCUGACGUUAGCGGCGGACGGGUGAGUAACACGUGGAUAACCUACCUAUAAGACUGGGAUAACUUCGGGAAACCGGAGCUAAUACCGGAUAAUAUAUUGAACCGCAUGGUUCAAUAGUGAAAGACGGUUUUGCUGUCACUUAUCGAUGGAUCCGCGCCGCAUUAGCUAGUUGGUAAGGUAACGGCUUACCAAGGCAACGAUGCGUAGCCGACCUGAGAGGGUGAUCGGCCACACGGGAACUGAGACACGGUCCAGAGUACUACGGGAGGCAGCAGUAGGGAAUCUUCCGCAAUGGGCGAGAGCUUGACGGAGCAACGCCGCGUGAGUGAUGAAGGUCUUCGGAGCGUAAAACUCUGUUAUUAGGGAAGAACAAAUGUGUAAGUAACUAUGCACGGCUUGACGGUACCUAAUCAGAAAGCCACGGCUAACUACGUG